GGUUAAGCGACUAAGCGUACACGGUGGAUGCCCUGGCAGUCAGAGGCGAUGAAGGACGUGCUAAUCUGCGAUAAGCGUCGGUAAGGUGAUAUGAACCGUUAUAACCGGCGAUUUCCGAAUGGGGAAACCCAGUGUGUUUCGACACACUAUCAUUAACUGAAUCCAUAGGUUAAUGAGGCGAACCGGGGGAACUGAAACAUCUAAGUACCCCGAGGAAAAGAAAUCAACCGAGAUUCCCCCAGUAGCGGCGAGCGAACGGGGAGCAGCCCAGAGCCUGAAUCAGUGUGUGUGUUAGUGGAAGCGUCUGGAAAGGCGCGCGAUACAGGGUGACAGCCCCGUACACAAAAAUGCACAUGCUGUGAGCUCGAUGAGUAGGGCGGGACACGUGGUAUCCUGUCUGAAUAUGGGGGGACCAUCCUCCAAGGCUAAAUACUCCUGACUGACCGAUAGUGAACCAGUACCGUGAGGGAAAGGCGAAAAGAACCCCGGCGAGGGGAGUGAAAAAGAACCUGAAACCGUGUACGUACAAGCAGUGGGAGCACGCUUAGGCGUGUGACUGCGUACCUUUUGUAUAAUGGGUCAGCGACUUAUAUUCUGUAGCAAGGUUAACCGAAUAGGGGAGCCGAAGGGAAACCGAGUCUUAACUGGGCGUUAAGUUGCAGGGUAUAGACCCGAAACCCGGUGAUCUAGCCAUGGGCAGGUUGAAGGUUGGGUAACACUAACUGGAGGACCGAACCGACUAAUGUUGAAAAAUUAGCGGAUGACUUGUGGCUGGGGGUGAAAGGCCAAUCAAACCGGGAGAUAGCUGGUUCUCCCCGAAAGCUAUUUAGGUAGCGCCUCGUGAAUUCAUCUCCGGGGGUAGAGCACUGUUUCGGCAAGGGGGUCAUCCCGACUUACCAACCCGAUGCAAACUGCGAAUACCGGAGAAUGUUAUCACGGGAGACACACGGCGGGUGCUAACGUCCGUCGUGAAGAGGGAAACAACCCAGACCGCCAGCUAAGGUCCCAAAGUCAUGGUUAAGUGGGAAACGAUGUGGGAAGGCCCAGACAGCCAGGAUGUUGGCUUAGAAGCAGCCAUCAUUUAAAGAAAGCGUAAUAGCUCACUGGUCGAGUCGGCCUGCGCGGAAGAUGUAACGGGGCUAAACCAUGCACCGAAGCUGCGGCAGCGACACUAUGUGUUGUUGGGUAGGGGAGCGUUCUGUAAGCCUGUGAAGGUGUGCUGUGAGGCAUGCUGGAGGUAUCAGAAGUGCGAAUGCUGACAUAAGUAACGAUAAAGCGGGUGAAAAGCCCGCUCGCCGGAAGACCAAGGGUUCCUGUCCAACGUUAAUCGGGGCAGGGUGAGUCGACCCCUAAGGCGAGGCCGAAAGGCGUAGUCGAUGGGAAACAGGUUAAUAUUCCUGUACUUGGUGUUACUGCGAAGGGGGGACGGAGAAGGCUAUGUUGGCCGGGCGACGGUUGUCCCGGUUUAAGCGUGUAGGCUGGUUUUCCAGGCAAAUCCGGAAAAUCAAGGCUGAGGCGUGAUGACGAGGCACUACGGUGCUGAAGCAACAAAUGCCCUGCUUCCAGGAAAAGCCUCUAAGCAUCAGGUAACAUCAAAUCGUACCCCAAACCGACACAGGUGGUCAGGUAGAGAAUACCAAGGCGCUUGAGAGAACUCGGGUGAAGGAACUAGGCAAAAUGGUGCCGUAACUUCGGGAGAAGGCACGCUGAUAUGUAGGUGAAGUCCCUCGCGGAUGGAGCUGAAAUCAGUCGAAGAUACCAGCUGGCUGCAACUGUUUAUUAAAAACACAGCACUGUGCAAACACGAAAGUGGACGUAUACGGUGUGACGCCUGCCCGGUGCCGGAAGGUUAAUUGAUGGGGUUAGCGCAAGCGAAGCUCUUGAUCGAAGCCCCGGUAAACGGCGGCCGUAACUAUAACGGUCCUAAGGUAGCGAAAUUCCUUGUCGGGUAAGUUCCGACCUGCACGAAUGGCGUAAUGAUGGCCAGGCUGUCUCCACCCGAGACUCAGUGAAAUUGAACUCGCUGUGAAGAUGCAGUGUACCCGCGGCAAGACGGAAAGACCCCGUGAACCUUUACUAUAGCUUGACACUGAACAUUGAGCCUUGAUGUGUAGGAUAGGUGGGAGGCUUAGAAGUGUGGACGCCAGUCUGCAUGGAGCCGACCUUGAAAUACCACCCUUUAAUGUUUGAUGUUCUAACGUUGACCCGUAAUCCGGGUUGCGGACAGUGUCUGGUGGGUAGUUUGACUGGGGCGGUCUCCUCCUAAAGAGUAACGGAGGAGCACGAAGGUUGGCUAAUCCUGGUCGGACAUCAGGAGGUUAGUGCAAUGGCAUAAGCCAGCUUGACUGCGAGCGUGACGGCGCGAGCAGGUGCGAAAGCAGGUCAUAGUGAUCCGGUGGUUCUGAAUGGAAGGGCCAUCGCUCAACGGAUAAAAGGUACUCCGGGGAUAACAGGCUGAUACCGCCCAAGAGUUCAUAUCGACGGCGGUGUUUGGCACCUCGAUGUCGGCUCAUCACAUCCUGGGGCUGAAGUAGGUCCCAAGGGUAUGGCUGUUCGCCAUUUAAAGUGGUACGCGAGCUGGGUUUAGAACGUCGUGAGACAGUUCGGUCCCUAUCUGCCGUGGGCGCUGGAGAACUGAGGGGGGCUGCUCCUAGUACGAGAGGACCGGAGUGGACGCAUCACUGGUGUUCGGGUUGUCAUGCCAAUGGCACUGCCCGGUAGCUAAAUGCGGAAGAGAUAAGUGCUGAAAGCAUCUAAGCACGAAACUUGCCCCGAGAUGAGUUCUCCCUGACUCCUUGAGAGUCCUGAAGGAACGUUGAAGACGACGACGUUGAUAGGCCGGGUGUGUAAGCGCAGCGAUGCGUUGAGCUAACCGGUACUAAUGAACCGUGAGGCUUAACCUU
rnacentral:rRNA from 2 species